GAACCGUGCAAACGUUGUUCGGAAUCACUGGGCUUAAAGGGCGCGUAGGCGGCGGGUCAAGUCCGGGGUGAAAGCUCCCGGCCCAACCGGGAAAGGGCCUCGGAUACUGACGCGCUCGAGGGAGGUAGGGGCAGAUGGAACUUCCGGUGGAGCGGUGAAAUGCGUUGAUAUCGGAAGGAACGCCGGUGGCGAAAGCGAUCUGCUGGACCUCUGCUGACGCUGAGGCGCGAAAGCCAGGGGAGCAAACGGGAUUAGAUACCCCGGUAGUCCUGGCCCUAAACGAUGGGUACUAGGUAGCGGGCUGACAUGGGCUCGCUGCCGAAGCAAAAGUGGUAAGUACCCCGCCUGGGGAGUAUGGUCGCAAGGCUGAA
rnacentral:rRNA from 1 species